AUGAUGGGGUGGGGAGAGCGCGGCACACCGCCGCCGCCGAAGGGGCAGCGCAGUGAUCUCUCAGGCAGAAGGACCGGCCCCGGACG
rnacentral:ncRNA from 2 species